CAGAUGAAGAGACUGAGGCUCAGAGUGGUUAAGUAAUUUGCCUAAGGUGACCCAGCUGGCAAAUGGCAGAGCCAAGCCUGGAAUCCAGACAGUGUGGCUGUGAAGUCUUGGCUCUUAAAGUAUUUGAAUUAUACUGUAUGAACCAGGAUGUGUUCCCUGUGGACACAGUGAGGCUCCCACUGAGCCUGAAGCUGUGACUACCACAUGGUUGUUUCGGGCUCCUCCUGCCAUUGGACCAAGAAGCAAAGAAAGGAGUUACCAUAUUGGCUGGGAUGACUGACCCCAAUUACCUGGGGGAAGCAUGGUUGCUGUUCCGCAACGCAGGCAGAGAAGGGGACGCCUGGAACUCGAGAGAUCUGCCAGGGUGGCUCUUGGUUUUCUCAGCCACUGCAGCAUGGGACACCCGAAGGCACCUGCUCAGCUAUUCUGAUGCCCGGGCACAAUUCAGGAAGAGCAAGGGAGUUAAUAUUAAAUGAGGCCAACCUUGACCAGGGGAGGAUGGGAUCUGGUGAAUAAAUACUCCUCACUUCUAGUCCUUAGGCAGACAGUUCUCAGAUGCAUUCUCCAUAGCUCUUCAGAUGGUCCCCAGUGGGAUAAGACCCAGUUGCCCAUGUGGCGAUCAACUCAGUAAUCUUGGAUUGACUUUCUCUUCCUCUCUGCUUCCUGGUUUCACUCUUCCCAGUAUCAAUGCCUAUCCCUUAGGUACACUCUCUAAGCCACCUGCAUGCAAGCCUUUUUCUUCGGCUCUGCUUUCUGGGGGAAUGGAGGUUAAGA